AACUGCAGGAGGACUCAGAAAUGUCGCCCUUUGGGGCGUGUAAAGAUAGGAAUUCACACGGUGUGCUCUGCAGCGUUUCUCCUCUGUGAAAAUACAAACCAGUGGGAGGCAAGAGAACCUGUCUUCAUCAGCGACUGGAACAUUCAGCUCCAAGCCAGGUUACCUGGACUCUCAAAUCUUGCAGCAGUUGUGCACAAAUGCGUGAAAGAUGGCUACAGCUUUAAACUAGCUGAAAAUCUGAGAAUGCAACCUUCAGCCCGCUACCUUCAAAAAUGUUACAGCCAUUGACUGAGUGGAAUGAGGCCCAGCUGUAGUGGUUUUCUCACUGCUAGGUCUAGCAGGGGAAAUGGAGCUAUAAACCGAGGCCUCUCUUGAGGCGUGGAGGGAAGAAACUGUCUGGGUCCUUGCUUGACACCUGGACCUCACUGUGGUGCUAAGUGAAACUCAACAACUCAGGUGGCCAAAAGAAGCAGAUGUUUAGCACAGCUAAGUGUAAAGAGUUGGGGAAAUGACUUUAUAGACCUUUGGCUGAGAUGCUCACAUUUGAAUGUCAUACACAGGAAGUCAUCAGGUAGUGCAAUAAUAUAAACAGACCUUACCUCAUGAAGUGAUUUAUUUUGGAAUGGUGGCAGCAACAACAGCCUCAAGCACAAAAGAACAUAAGGACUUACUUUUUUUUUAAUUUGAGAGAUUUCCCAACCAGUCAGGGCUGUCUGUAAUGAAAAAGU